GACGAACGCUGGCGGCGUGCUUAACACAUGCAAGUCGAGCGAUGAAGUUUCUUCGGAAAUGGAUUAGCGGCGAACGGGUGAGGAACACGUGAAGAAUCUGCCCUCCACUUUGGGAUAACACCGGGAAACCGGUGCUAAUACCGAAUAUUGAAACAUAAGUGGCAUCACUGAGUUUCGAAAGAAUUUCGGUGGAGGAUGACUUCGCGGCCUAUCAGCUAGUUGGUGAGGUAAUGGCUCACCAAGGCAACGACGGGUAGCCGGCCUGAGAGGGCGACCGGCCACACUGGGACUGGGACACGGCCCAGACUCCUACGGGAGGCAGCAGUGGGGAAUAUUGGGCAAUGGAGGAAACUCUGACCCAGCGACGCCGCGUGCGGGAUGAAGGCCUUCGGGUUGUAAACCGCUUUCAGUAGGGAAGAAGCGAAAGUGACGGUACCUACAAAAGAAGCACCGGCUAACUAUGUGCCAGCCGCCGCGGUAA
rnacentral:rRNA from 1 species